GAUGAACGCUGGCGGCGUGCCUAAUACAUGCAAGUCGAGCGAACAGAUAAGGAGCUUGCUCCUUUGACGUUAGCGGCGGACGGGUGAGUACCACGUGGGUAACCUACCUAUAAGACUGGAAUAACUCCGGGAAACCGGGGCUAAUGCCGGAUAACAUUUAGAACCGCAUGGUUCUAAAGUGAAAGAUGGUUUUGCUAUCACUUAUAGAUGGACCCGCGCCGUAUUAGCUAGUUGGUAAGGUAACGGCUUACCAAGGCAACGAUACGUAGCCGACCUGAGAGGGUGAUCGGCCACACUGGAACUGAGACACGGUCCAGACUCCUACGGGAGGCAGCAGUAGGGAAUCUUCCGCAAUGGGCGAAAGCCUGACGGAGCAACGCCGCGUGAGUGAUGAAGGUCUUCGGAUCGUAAAACUCUGUUAUUAGGGAAGAACAAAUGUGUAAGUAACUGUGCACGUCUUGACGGUACCUAAUCAGAAAGCCACGGCUAACUACGUG
rnacentral:rRNA from 1 species